rnacentral:lncRNA from 1 species
GGAGGCUACUUGCAGAUUCACCUGCUUAGCAACACAGGAUUCUGGGAACAUUCUAGAGUCCUGGCAUUCUACAGGACACAGUGGAAGGCCACAGCCUUGUCCAGAAGAAAGAGCUGGCAGGCCCCUGUAGGAUACUUUCAAGAUCUGAGCUUUGAUGUUCUUUGGCACAUCUGUUUGUUUCCACAGAGGUCCCCAACUGAUGCAUAAAUUGAUUCUAUGAGAUGAAACACAGAAGGUUUAGAACUCUAACAAGCAAAUGUCAUCCAGAAAAGUUUUCACCCAAGCCCUUUGUUCAAGAGAGCAAAAGAAAGUAUUCAAAGACUCUGAACUUAGUGCUGAUGUUACAAAGACAAGACCUGGUCAUGCCCUAAAAUUGCUUGGUGUCUCAUGGCUGAAGUUGAGCCCAGUGGCCCCUGUGCCAUGGUGGAGUCUCUUGCUGUUGACUACCUUCAGGGUGUUGAUGAGUGUUGACUGGAACAGGACCAGGAUAAGGAGCGGGAGCCACAAGAACAAAGACCAAGGGACAGUGCUGGGUCCUGCCUCCCAGAGACCACCAGCUGUGAUUGAGGUUGAUUAAAAAUGAAAAACAAGCAAAGCAUUCACCCAUCUCCUGUCCUCUCCAUACCUCUGUUUCCUGCCCCUGGAAAGAUUCUCCUAUAUCCUUGGCUCUAAGUUCCUUUCUGUGACAUAGUUAAAAAGCAGGUUAAAGAUUUAUUUGUGAAUUUCCACUGGAUUCCCUUGGCUUCUCGAGUCAAUUCAACACUGUCUCCCUCCCACCUGUGAACUCAGGUUAGUGAGUUUACUUCCCUAACCUCACUGGCCUUGUUUGGACAAAGGAGGCCUGUCCAGAUGCUGGCCCUGCAGAAUUAAAACAAAACAAAACAAAACAAAACAAAAAACCAAAUCAAAUAGGGGCACCUGCAUAGCUCAGUGGGUUAAAGCCUCUGCCUUCAGUUCAGGUCAUGAUCCCAGGGUUCUGGGAUCCAGCCAGGGAGCCUGCUUCCCUUCCUCUCUCUGCCUGCCUCUCUGCCUGCUUAUGAUCUCUGUCACAUAAAUAAACAAAAUCUUAAAAAAAAAAUACCAAAUAGAGUUUUAAAAAAAUUAAGACAAAAUUC